GAUGAACGCUGGCGGCGUGCCUAAUACAUGCAAGUCGAGCGAACAGACGAGGAGCUUGCUCCUCUUACGUUAGCGGCGGACGGGUGAGUAACACGUGGAUAACCUACCUAUCAGACGGGGAUAACUUCGGGAAACCGGAGCUAAUACCGGCUAAUAUAUUUAACCGAAUGGUUCAAUAGUUAAAGACGGUUUUGCUGUCAAUUAUUGAUGGAUCCGCGCCGCAUUAGCUAGUGGGUAAGGUAACGGCUUACCAAGGGGACGAUGCUUAACCGACCUGAGAGGGUGACCGCCCAACCGGGACCUGGACAACGGCCAGACCUCUUCCGGAGGGAAGCAGUAGGGAUCCUUCGGCAAUGGGCGAAAGCCUGCCGGAGCACCGCGGCGGGAUGAAGGAAGGUCUUGGGAUGGUAAAACUUGGUUAUUAGGGAAGAAAAAAUGUGUACGUAACUAUGCCCGUAUUGACGGUACCUAAUCAGAAAGCCACGGCUAACUACGUG
rnacentral:rRNA from 1 species